CUUGAAACAAUAAGCAUUUAUUAUAUCACUGUUUUAGUAGGGGGGAUUCUGGGAGUAGAUCAGCUGGGCCCCCCAGCUCAGGGACUGCAGUCAAGGUGUCAGCCAGCACUAUAGUCACCUCAAGGUUCAAGAGCAGGAGGUCCACUUCCAGGCUCACUCACAAGGGUGUUGGCAGGUCUCAGGUUCCCAGAUGCUGUUGGCUAAAGACAUUGGAUCCUGCCAUGCAGGCCUCUCUGGAGGCUUACUUAUCACAUGGCACCUUGCUUCCACCACACCAAGGGCAAUUUAAAAGCUUAAAACAGAAACAGCCAUUUAUUUGCUCAUGAUUCUGUAACUUGGGCAGGGCUUGGCAGGGUCAGCUAGUCUUUGCUGAGGUAACUUGACUGGGGCUAAAGAUGCAAGAUGGCUUCACCCAGCUUCUCAGUUGGGGGCUGGCGUGGCUGGAAGACAGCAGGCCCUUCCCUUUUCCUUUAGAGUCUCUCAUCCUCCAGGGCCUCAUUUUCUUCAGGUGCUAUCUCUCUCAUGCAGCACAAACUUCUUUACAUCACAGCUGGCUCUAAAAGGGAAAAACAAUGCUACAAGAUUUCAUAAGGCCUGGAAGUCACAGGGCCCCACUUCUGCUAGGUCCAACUGGUCAAAACAAGUUCCAGAUGCAAAGAGAAGGAAAGUAAAAGACACCUUCUAGUGGGAGAAGCAGCAUGCACACACAGGAAUGGGAGGCACUGUCGGUGGCCACAUUUGGAGACAAUCCACCACUCCUACCUACAGAAACUGCCAGACCACAUCCACGACAAGGCAGUCAGUGUUCCUCCUCUAGUAGUGGUGUAAGAACUGAAUAUUCUCAUCAAAUCAUCCACUCCUUAGAGCAAUGAUUGGUAUUUGUGAUGUGGCAAACAGGAAUGGAGCCUGUGGCACAGAGCUUUUCCCAAAGUUUGCACUGGGAAAGUGAACUACACAGCCUAAGAAAAGAGUGAGCUACGUGGCCUAAGAAAAGAGCUACAUAGCCUUGGCCGGGCACGGUGGCUUAUGCCUAUAAUCCCAAUACUCUGGGAGGCCGAGGUGGGUGGAUCAUUUGAGGUCAGGAGUUUAAGACCAGCCUGGGCAACAUGGUGAAACCCCAUCUCCACCAAAAAAUAAAAAAAAUAGCCAGACAUGGUGGCAGGUGCCUGCAGUCCUA
rnacentral:lncRNA from 1 species